rnacentral:lncRNA from 1 species
AAUUAAAGGAAAUGUUGCUAUGUAAUGCAAUGCCUCAUGAUUCUGAUAUGCAUUAGUGGAUUUGUAUCCUUUCAAACAUAUAUUUACUCACCAAAAUCUAACUGACUUGUUCUCCUAUCUGCCUCUGCUUUUGUUUUAAAAGUUCUGUGGUAUUUGAGAGUUCUAAAAACAAGGUUCCUGUAGCAUGAACCACUAUUCCUGCUAAGCUUUUUUCUCCUUUAAUUGUCUGUGACCUUGUCUUUAGAAAGAUUUAAUUAGAAGCUUGCAGUGACCAAGGCCAAUUUGAUGGGCUUUGUGUUAAAUGCAAACUGCAAACAGAAAGCUGAGUUCC